AUUGAACGCUGGCGGCAGGCCUAACACAUGCAAGUCGAACGAGUGGCGGACGGGUGAGUAAUGUCUGGGAAACUGCCUGAUGGAGGGGGAUAACUACUGGAAACGGUAGCUAAUACCGCAUACCAUCAGAUGUACCCAGAUGGGAUUAGCUUGUUGGUGGGGUAACGGCUCACCAAGGCGACGAUCCCUAGCUGGUCUGAGAGGAUGACCAGCCAGACUGGAACUGAGACACGGCCCAGACUCCUACGGGAGGCAGCAGUGGGGAAUAUUGCACAAUGGGGGCAAGCCUGAGGCAGAGAUGCCGCGUGUAUGAAUAAGGCCUUCGGGUUGUAAAGUACUUUCAGCGGGGAGGCGUUACCCGCAGAAGAAGCACCGGCUAACUCCGUGCCAGCAGCCGCGGUAAUUC
rnacentral:rRNA from 1 species